CACCAUUGUCGCACUCUGCAUAGUGAUGUAAUUCUUUACAAGUCUGCCUCCUGCUCUCCUGAGGACUGGGACCCCUGCACCCCCAUACUGGUCCCCUGCAGGUGAGGCUAAGACUCAGAGAAGUUACGUACCUGGAUCCAUUAGCAAGUGAUAGAGCCAAGAAUUGAACCAAGGACCGAUAUGAGGAUUAGGUGAACCAGAAUGUGAAAAAGUGCCUUAUAAAUGGUCCAGUGACAUCUGAACAUGAGUCGUUUGGGGCAUUAACCUGUCCAGCUCUGAAAGUCUGGAUUUGAAGAGGACUGGAUGCAGUUCCGAGCAUUUCCUGGCAUACGUUUUGACUUGCUCUGCCUGAGUGAGCAAGUAACUAAUUUAAAAUAUUCGACUGUCUCUGCUCAGUGACUAGACCACAAUCUGUUAUAAAGUAAGGCUGAAAAAUUCACUUAGAGGAAGAGAUCAUCUUGCAGAAGAACUCACAUGUGUGCUCAAGAAGAUGUGUUCAAGGAUUUCCAUUGCUGAUUAUCUAUAAUGGUGAAAAAUCAUUAUCAAGCUAAAUGCCACCAAAAAGAGAUAUGCUAAAUUAAUUAUGGUGCAGGCUCAUACUGGAAUACUAUGCAGUCAUGAAGAGAGAAGGAGCUAUCUCACAGGGAUGAAUAUCCAAGAUGGAUCAUUAACUGAGAAAAGCAAGAGACCAAGCAUUUUGAUGCCACACAAAUGGUUUUUAAAACAGAUGGAGACCCAUGUAUUUGACUACACAUAGAAAGUGUUCAGGAGGGACCAAACCAAACCAAACCGUAGUUACCUUUAGAAAUUGAGAAGAGGUGUGUGUGUGUGUGUCUGUGUGUGUGUGUGUGUGUGUGUCUGUGUGU